rnacentral:rRNA from 1 species
GAUCAUGGCUCAGGAUGAACGCUAGCUACAGGCUUAACACAUGCAAGUCGAGGGGAAACGAUAUUGGAAGCUUGCUUCCGAUAGGCGUCGACCGGCGCACGGGUGAGUAACGCGUAUCCGACCUGCCCACCGCUUGGGGAUAACCUUGCGAAAGUAAGACUAAUACCCAAUGAUAUCUCUAGAAGACAUCUGAAAGAGAUUAAAGAUUUAUCGGUGAUGGAUGGGGAUGCGU